AUUGAACGCUGGCGGCAGGCUUAACACAUGCAAGUCGAGCGGAAACGAUGGGAGCUUGCUCCCAGGCGUCGAGCGGCGGACGGGUGAGUAAAGCUUAGGAAUCUGCCCAGUAGUGGGGGACAACAGUCGGAAACGGCUGCUAAUACCGCAUACGCCCUUUGGGGGAAAGCAGGGGAUCUUCGGACCUUGCGCUAUUGGAUGAGCCUAAGUCGGAUUAGCUAGUUGGUGGGGUAAUGGCCUACCAAGGCGACGAUCCGUAGCUGGUCUGAGAGGAUGAUCAGCCACAUCGGGACUGAGACACGGCCCGAACUCCUACGGGAGGCAGCAGUGGGGAAUAUUGGACAAUGGGGGCAACCCUAAUCCAGCCAUGCCGCGUGUGUGAAGAAGGCUUUCGGGUUGUAAAGCACUUUCAGUGAGGAGGAAGGCCUCAAAGUUAAUACCUUUGAGGA
rnacentral:rRNA from 1 species